UCAGUUAUUAUAUUAAUCUUUUUUUCUAAUAUGAAUAGUAGGAAGUGUUAUUUUUCUAAAAUAAAGAUAGAUAUGAUUUGUAUACUAUGCUUUAUAUUGAAACUACUGCUUUUUCAGAAAAAAAGCUAAACCAACGAGAGAGUUAAUUUGUUGUCGUAAAUUACACGAUCAUAAACCAGGAACAUAAAUUCCGACGAUUUGAUGAUCAGUACCGUGGUAGAAUAUUUAUCUUUCGCGCAUUCAUCAUCACGUAGGAAUGUGUUAACCUUUGCCUCUAUCUCAAAUGAUAUAAUAACAAGAAUCAACGAGGAACCGGUAGAUCGAAUUGCAACGUGUCAAAUGGAACGUGUCAUUUUCUCUGUUUGUGCUUCCUUUUUUCGAAAACAUCGUGAUUAAGUGGAAAACCGCAAAUAACCCAUGAUUGUUACAGAAAAGAAUAACGGUUCCCGAUUGGAAGAACGAAUCGUGAAUUCGCACGCAAAAUCUUUCUCUCUUUCUAUCUCUUUCACUCUAAUGGGAAAGGACUUAAGCGUGUAAGAUAGACAAGGACAGAAGAUAUGAGCGCGCUCAGACGAUAAAAAAUGGCGGCACAAGUUCCUGCAGGCAGAACAAACCAGGGACAAAGAAUAACAGUUUUUAAAUUUUUACGAAAAAUUUCAAUGAAAUAGAGUUAGACUAUUGUUUAAAUUAGUGUUAUUUGUAUUGAGGACAGUGAUCACUAAAUUUUAAAGAGAUUUUUCAAGAAAUUAGAUGAUCAAAAGUUACAGCAGUGAUAGUUCCUGGAAUAAAUAUAGAAGUAUCUCGAGGUUCCUUCGAAUAUAAGGAAAAGAAAUAUAAGGAAUCUCGAGGAACAAAGGAGGAAGCGUGAACUCGAAUAGCCAGUUGUGAGAAACGAAGGGACAAAGACGAAGGACACGUGCACAUUGCGCAUCGAGAUAAAUGGAAGAAACAAUUAUAAGGAGCUGUCGAGCGAGGUGUACGAAACUUAACGAGCCGAGGACAUAACCUUCUCGAAAAAUUGAGCCACAAAGAGAUAUCAUUUCCCUAGACUAAUUUUGUAACAAGAUAAUAACAAGACAAUAAAAUGAAGAUAAAAAUAUUUGUAUGCAGAUGAUGAAAAUUUUUAGCAACGACGCAAUAAAUGGUAAUCGCAGCUAUAACCAAAUUAUGUUGGGCAAUAACAUUUUGUUUAAUGCGUUUCCUGCCAUUUUUAGGUUUCAAAGUGAGUAUGUAAAUCAUUCUAGUGAAACGAACUAGACAUCGAUGAAUCAUCAUUAACAAAAGCAUUGUCGAUUGAUGAGAGAUCAAAGCAUAUUAAGUACUUAAUUGAAUUUCAAUUUAGAAUGUCUCGAAUAUAUAACCCAUUUUUUUAUUAUAUAUUUAUAUUAUAAUCUUUGAACUUUAAAAAUAGUGUUUUCUAAUUCUACUUGUCAAAAACUCAAAUAAAAAAUCGCAAAUUCGGUACGUCUUAAAUCUGAGUUCAUAAAUUACGAUAAAAAAGUAUAGUUGAAACAUGUACUAAGAAGUAUGUAUUACGAAAAACACCAUAAAAAGAUAAACUAAGAGCACCUGUAAGCUAAUGAAAAUCAAUAUAUUCGUUAAGGAUUACGACAACCGUUUCUACGCACAUUGCAACACUCGGGAGCGGAUCUCCUUCUGAGGAAUCUCAAUGUAGCCUCAGCGUGGCCUCAGAAUGGCCUCAGGAUGGCCUCACCGGCGAAGUACGCAGCUCCUACUUGGAAGGUGCAAUUCACUCACAGAGAUGAGCGCUGCUAGUGGGAGGAUACGACAUUGGAGAAGGGAAGAGGAAGGAGGGUUCAAAAGGAAUGGGAGGAAACCGACUUGCAAAACUCGCAUCCGGAGUCUACGAAUUCCGACAUUGGCAAAAAUAGAAAUUAUCUCAUCACAGGUACAUAUUUAGUCAUGAUGAAGGAAGGAUUGAUUAACAUUCCAGUUGAUGGUACGGUGAUCUCAAUCGGUGCCGAUGAACAGCUCACUUGUGCGUAAAGUUUUGACUUGUGUAGCCAUCGAAUGCAGGAAGGUGAGGUAAGAACAGAAUCAUGAAGCCAGAAGACUCAUGAAGGGAAAGGAGGCAGAUACGUAGGGAAAACGAUCCAUGGACGGCUCGUGGAAAACGAGUUGACAUUCCAGUGAACACCGAUGACGUUGUCCUUAACUAUGAUGUAGUCUCUCUUUUACUGGUUUGCGAUCUAAAUGCCGUCGAUCGAUCUCAUGUGCUCUUGAGAAAUUUUUUUUAGCUCUUUGGAAAAACUUACGAAUUGAUGAGAAAAUAUUGAAUAUACCUUAAUUGGUGUGUAAUCAUGAUAAAAAAAUCUGGUAUAAAGGAGAUUAAAACAAAUUUUGUUUCAAAUUCCCAAGUAAACGAAAACAUAAAUUAAAAAUGUUAUAAAUUAUGGAUGAUAAUUAAUAUGGCAAUUGAAAGAGGAAUUUUUAUCGAGGCUAGCUGGAACGUUUCGGAAUUCUAAAACAUAUACAGUAGAUUUUUCGCUAACAAGAACUGUAAACACUAUAUUUUUCUAGCGAGGUAACUGCGUAGUCAACAAUUUGCGCAGCUAAACUUUCUCAAAUUCCUGUGUUUACAUUCUGCGAUCCUACGUGAUCUCACGGCUGCAUAUUGUUUCGCUAGUCUCUUCUUAAGACCGUGGAAGCAGUGGAGAAAAUUGUGUGACGUGCAAGCGAUAAAUGCUCUGACAGCUACAAAACUAAAUUGUACUUGAAUGCAAGUGUAUACCUAUUUAAUUGCAUCAAAUUAAUCUUCCAAGAAAUCACUCACAAUUCUGUUUACAAUCGUACAAAACUAUACAUAAGUAAGAAAAAAAGAAAUAGUUGAAAGAAGAAUCAAAUAUGGAUGGUUGUAAAACUUAUAUGUACAAAAUUUUGAUAAACCGUGGAAUGCCAAAACAGGUCAAGCGAAACAAAAAAACAAUAGCAAAACCUAUAGCAGGAGAAGAAAUAUUUCUCGGAUUACUCCAGAGAAAAUGGUAGCGUUUCUAAGUAUGUACGUCGCAGUGACUGAUCGUUCUCAUUGAUGCGAGAUCUCUCGAGAGAGAGCAAGAAAAGAAAAUUCGUGGCGCGAUCGCGGGAGUAAGCGAAACUACGGAGUUAUAAAGAGUACACCAUCGCGCCAUUCUCCUUGACGUGCCUUAGAAAACAAGCUACGGUUCCAGCGGACACUCAUUCAGUUUUUGUUUCGUUCUCACUGUCUAGUCGCGUUUUCACCUGGGAAGAUAUUACGCGAUCCGACAGUAUUAUGUCGCACGAUAGAGACGAUAUGAUGAGGUGGAAUGACGAAUUUCGAAAAAGGAAUGCAAUGACCAAGGAAAAGACUUUCAUCGAGUACCAAGAAUCCGUGAAGAAAUACAUAAACACGACAGAUAAUAAUAAUGGGUUAUGUCGACAAUGCUGCCUCAAAAACAGGUUAGAACGAAGCGAAUGCGCAUAAUCAGGAUGUAGGAGGAUAAAUGAACGAGCUUACAAUGCAGAAUUAUGCAGAUGAGAGAGGCGCAAUUUCUUCAGGCAUAAUUAAGAAAAACGAAGAGGCGAGGUACGCCGAUGACGUUGCUGCCAUUAAACUUCCUCUCACUAGCAUUCUAUGUAUAAUGAGCUGUUACGCCAUACACACAAUAUUACCGUAGAAUACGCAGGGAGGAAUACAAAUACAGUGUGGUGGAUGGUGCAGGAAGAGCGCGACGAUAAAAAAAAGAACAAAACAAAAUGUCCUUCGCGGUGGAUUGAUUGAAUGAUUAUCGAUAGCUCUUCAAGCUAAAUGUUAUUACUGGAUCAAAUUCCCUCAAAAUUAUCCUAAACAUUAUAUUGACUUAUUCUCUUUGAACCAAUUUAAUUUUCACCUAAUUCUCCACAAGCAUGCACACACUUUCGAUUUCUUUUAACGAUCACAUCAAUAACCUACUGGCUAAUCUCAGAGACAAAAUUGGAAAGAUCCGUACACGAAUCGCGCAAUCGCUUCACUGAGCCGUCAAAAAAGAUCCGACAAUACAAUCUCCCUACCUGUUGAAUUGUCCGGGAAAUUUCCAGCUGAUGCUUCGGUCACGCACACACAAAAUCACUGCACCAAGAAGUCCGUAAAUCUCAGACGACGCAUCUCUGAGGCGGCGUCAUCGUCGUUCAAGGAAAGAAACAACAAGAUCGUAUGAGUGAUUCCACUCUAGCUAUUGCCGAGACGCAAGAAAAGUAAACGUCUGUCCGCGCGAUCGGUGAACCACGAUGAUUCACUGGAUAGUUGGAAGACGUGACUUUAGGACGUAGCCAUUUCGAUAUUGGGCGGUCAAUUGCGACGAUGUACGAUAAGAUCGUACAAUUUCGACAGGUGGUAGCUAUACACACAAAGAUACCACAGCGGUCGAGAAGGAUGCGACGGGGCCACGUCCCAGACUGACUCCAAGAAGCUUGGCUAGGCUCUGUUCGACUCGACUCACCUCAACUGCCUGGCAUUGCAAAGCAGCCGCGAGCGAAAACUCACUUUACGCUCUCGCACGGCCCCUUACGUUUACCCCCCGCCAUAUUACCGACUGCCUGCUUUCUUAAGGCUGCCUGCGAGUUCGCCUGAAUACCUGCUUCUAUACCCCUUCUCUUGGUGCAUCGCGGCACUGUACCUCAGGCGCGCGCGGCGCCGCUGCCUGAUGUUUCUUCCUGCGCUCUCUGGCUCCCUCUGACAGGGAGACUGCAUGACAUUCAGGUCACCAAUUUGUCUCGAAUUCUGUGGACAUGAUUGAGGCAACUAAAAAUGAGUUCGAGUUUUUAAUCGCUCAUUUUAUGUAAGGAUGGAUCUGGGGAAGGAUUAAGUAAAUGGACAGAUAUCGUAAUGUAGCAUUAUAUUGGGAAUAUUUUGAUAGUAUUAUUGUGUUUACAUUACAUGUUUGUAAAUAAUCUUAGAUAGAAGAGAAUAGAACAUAUUUGUACAGUUA